UGAGGAAUAUUGGUCAAUGGGCGAGAGCCUGAACCAGCCAAAUCGCGUGAAGGAAGACUGCCUUAUGGGUUGUAAACUUCUUUUAUACAGGAAUAAAAAAGGGGACGUGUCCCUUAUUGCAUGUACUGUAUGAAUAAGCAUCGGCUAACUCCGUGCCAGCAGCCGCGGUAAUACGGAGGAUGCGAGCGUUAUCCGGAUUUAUUGGGUUUAAAGGGUGCGCAGGCGGGCUUUUAAGUCAGCGGUGAAAUCUCGGGGCUUAACUCCGAAACUGCCGUUGAAACUGGGAGUCUUGAGUAUGGAUGAAGUAGGCGGAAUUCGUUGUGUAGCGGUGACAUGCUUAGAUAUAACGAGGAACUCCGAUUGCGUAGGCAGCUUACUAAGCCAUAACUGACGCUCAAGCACGAAAGCGUGGGGAUCAAACAGGAUUAGAUACCCUGGUAGUCCACGCCGUAAACGAUGAUUACUAGUUGUAUGCGAUAUACCGUAUGUGACUAAGCGAAAGCGAUAAGUAAUCCACCUGGGGAGUACGCCGGCAACGGUGAAACUCAAAUGAAUUGAC
rnacentral:rRNA from 1 species